rnacentral:rRNA from 1 species
AUACGGAGGGUGCAAGCGUUAUUCGGAAUCACUGGGCGUAAAGGACGCGUAGGCGGGUUGGCAAGUCAGAUGUGAAAUCCUACAGCUUAACUGUAGGACUGCAUUUGAAACUGCUAACCUAGAGUAUGAGAGGGGGAGAUGGAAUUGGUGGUGUAGGGGUAAAAUCCGUAGAUAUCACUAGGAAUACCGAAAGCGAAGGCGAUCUCCUGGAACAUAACUGACGCUAAGGCGUGAAAGCGUGGGGAGCAAACAGUAUUAGAUACCCUAGUAGUCC